rnacentral:rRNA from 1 species
GGGACAACAGUUGGAAACGACUGCUAAUACCGCAUAAGCCCACGGGUCGGCAUCGACCUGAGGGAAAAGGAGCAAUCCGCUUUGAGAUGGCCUCGCGUCCGAUUAGCUAGUUGGUGAGGUAAUGGCCCACCAAGGCGACGAUCGGUAGCCGGACUGAGAGGUUGAACGGCCACAUUGGGACUGAGACACGGCCCAGACUCCUACGGGAGGCAGCAGUGGGGAAUAUUGCACAAUGGGGGAAACCCUGAUGCAGCGACGCCGCGUGGAGGAAGAAGGUCUUCGGAUUGUAAACUCCUGUUGUUGAGGAAGAUAAUGACGGUACUCAACAAGGAAGUGACGGCUAACUACGUGCCAGCAGCCGCGGUAAAACGUAGGUCACAAGCGUUGUCCGGAAUUACUGGGUGUAAAGGGAGCGCAGGCGGGAAGACAAGUUGGAAGUGAAAUCUAUGGGCUCAACCCAUAAACUGCUUUCAAAACUGUUUUUCUUGAGUAGUGCAGAGGUAGGCGGAAUUCCCGGUGUAGCGGUGGAAUGCGUAGAUAUCGGGAGGAACACCAGUGGCGAAGGCGGCCUACUGGGCACCAACUGACGCUGAGGCUCGAAAGUGUGGGUAGCAAACAGGAUUAGAUACCCUGGUAGUCCACACCGUAAACGAUGAUUACUAGGUGUUGGAGGAUUGACCCCUUCAGUGCCGCAG